GACGAACGCUGGCGGCGUGCUUAACACAUGCAAGUCGAACGGAAAGGCCCUGCUUUUGUGGCGUUCUCGAUUGGCGAACGGGUGAGUAACACGUGAGUAACCUGCCCUUGACUUUGGGAUAACUUCUGGAAACUGGGGCUAAUACCGGAUAGGAUCUCCUGCUGCAUGGUGGGGGUUGGUAAGUUUCGGCGGUUGGGGAUGGACUCGCGGCUUAUCAGCUUGUUUGUGGAGUAGUGGCUUACCAAGCUUUUGACGGGUAGCCGGCCUGGGAGGGUGACCGGCCACAUUGGGACUGAGAGACGGACCAGACUCGUACGGGAGGCAGCAGUGGGAAAUAUUGCACAAUGGGCGGAAGUCUGAUGUAGAAACGCUGCGUGCGGGAUGCCGGCCUUCGGGUUGUAAACCGAUUUCGCCUGUGCCGAAGAGUGAGUGACGGUAAUGGGUAAAGAAGCACCGGCUAACUACGUG
rnacentral:rRNA from 1 species